UUGUAUGUUGAGAUCGUUAUCAAGUCGAUUCUUUCAUCAACUUAAUGACAGAUGUUUGUUUUUAUGGCCUAUAGAUGCAUUCAACAACUUGAGUUCAGUGUCAAAGUGUUGCUUUUUUAUGAAGUCCAAGAAGCCCAAAUCUGAUAAUACUGGCGAUUGAUCCUAACUGCCUAAUGCUGAUUCUGACAGACGAUUGCAUCAUCACAAUAUUAAAGGUUCAAUAUACAGUCAGCCUCUCAUAAGAAAAAGUCCAAAGAUCCAAGGCUUGCUUCAAAGUUAAGAGACCAUUCUGUGCCACAAAGAAAUUGUUCAGGAAGGGGAGAACUGGUGGAUUUGCAUUUUUUGUACAGUUCAAAGAGAUUUUCAAAAUGGUUAUGGAAGAUCAGAGGGAGGACAACUGAAAACAUUGAAAGAUACAGAAGGAAAAAGAACAAGGAAACAUAUGGAAUUAUUAUGAAAUGGAGAGGAUGUACACAAUCUUGUCUGAA